rnacentral:rRNA from 1 species
AUUGAACGCUGGCGGCAGGCCUAACACAUGCAAGUCGAGCGGAUGAAGGGAGCUUGCUCCUGGAUUCAGCGGCGGACGGGUGAGUAAUGCCUAGGAAUCUGCCUGGUAGGGGGGGAUAACGUCCGGAAACGGGCGCUAAUACCGCAUACGUCCUGAGGGAGAAAGUGGGGGAUCUUCGGACCUCACGCUAUCAGAUGAGCCUAGGUCGGACUAGCUAGUUGGUGGGGUAAAGGCCUACCAAGGCGACGAUCCGUAACUGGUCUGAGAGGAUGAUCAGUCACACUGGAACUGAGACACGGUCCAGGCUCCUACGGGAGGCAGCAGUGGGGAAUAUUGGACAGUGGGCGAAAGCCUGAUCCAGCCAUGCCGCGUGUGUGAAGAAGGUCUUCGGAUUGUAAAGCACUUUAAGUUGGGAGGAAGGGCAGUAAGUUAAUACCUUGCUGUUUUGACGUUACCAACAGAAUAAGCACCGGCUAACUUCGUG